rnacentral:rRNA from 1 species
AUGCAAAGAAAGAACAUUUUCCUGACGUUGAUAAUUCCAGGGCCCAACUAUCCGGGGAAAAAUAUGAAUGUGUACAUGCAACCGCUUAAGGACGAAUUGCAAGAAGCCUGGGAUAAUGGGGAGAGGGGUUGGGACCACCAUCAUAGUGUCCGUCGGCCCAACUCCGUCCUUGGAGUUCUUUGCCGGCAAAACUUCCCGGGGUUUGUCACGUUGCCUGGUGAGGGUAGGCUUCCAGAGCUUGGAUUGAGCUGGGAGCACUACGUGGCUGCCCCGGCCCCGCCGGAUGAGAUUAUCGACGGUGUCGUGUGCGACACGAGGGCAGACAUGGUGAUCAGAAAGUUCUGGACAUUCUGCAGGUGUGAGGAGGGAUACGAGGAGGACGCGGCACAUGUUAUCGAGAACGUCUGCAAGCGCCUACUCCAGAACUUACGACACGAGGCUCGGGUGCAGGCUGUUCGAGACUACUACGCCUUGCGUGGUAUCAAGAAAACCAAGCCGGCGUGCCGCGAUAAGUUCCUGAGUAAGGAGCAGUACAUGAAGGUAAUUCUUAAGGCCUUCUACUUAUCCGUUGGAGAUGGACUUAUCCGUUGUCCUAGCACUCUCCCGGAGAUCAAGGCGCGCCAGUCGAGCUCCGCUCCUGAGAUAAGGCCUCGUGAACGGCCAGUGCAACUCGCCAUCAAGGCUGCUAUACAGACUGAGAGAGAUAGAACGGAGAAACUUCUGGCGGAGGCGGCGGAGAGGCAGCGGGAGAUGGAGGAGAGGACGAGAAAGAUGAUGGAGGAGGAGAGGGCACGGAAUGACAUGCAGGCAAGGGCCAUGUACGAGCUCCUUGUGUCUGUGUGCGAGAAGUCCGGUCAGCCCGCUCCGCCGAUGCCAGUGAUUGCUCCUGGGAGCACGCUUAACUCCAGAAACGCAUCGCACGAUCCUUCUCCAGGUAGCGGCACUAGCCACCCCGCUCCUACACCUCCCUGA